rnacentral:piRNA from 1 species
UCCAGAUAGAUAGGGAACGGAAGGUAGCU